rnacentral:lncRNA from 1 species
UAAUGACUUGCCCUACAGAAAAUCCACUCAAAUAGAUGAAUAUGAACCAACCAACAAUUUAAGGCACUUAACAAGAACGCACAAGAACACGCGAUUUAACCCGAGGUUCGGCAACCACCACAAAGGUGUCCUACUCCUCAUUGAGGAGCCCACAAAGGGCCGGGUCUUUUCCAACCCUAAUCCUCUACAAACCGACCACCAAGGUCAAGGCAAUCUUUUCUCAAAUUUGCUCAAAGAGCGGGUAAUACAAACUUCUUGGGGUCAUCCACAAAUUUGGAGACUCCCAAGCAACCUCUAACCGUCAAGGAACACAAGGCUCCAAGAGUAACAAAUCCGCACAAGGUUAAGUUUGCAAUGAGCUCAAGAACAAAGAGAAUGGGAGAAUCAAGAUGAAAUUGACAGCGUGUUAGAUCGACUUCACCUCACACCAAGGAUCCUUCAAGCGAUUGAAGGAGAUGCGAUUUUGGGUGUGAGAUGUGAAAUGAAUGCCCUUGUUUGGAGUUUGGUCUGCUGAGGAAUCGUGGAGAGAGCAGAAGUGAUUAAGAGAGAGAGUGUGGGGGUAUUUAAAGGAUCCCCCAAAAGCUGGCAGCCGUUGGGAGAAAAGGGCCAAAAACCGGUUGAACCGGUUUCCACCAGGGAGAACCCGGUUCACUAAUCUACUCAGUUGGAGACUCGACCGGACUCAAAACCGGUUGAGCCGGGGAAAAUCCGGUUGAACCGGUUUUCAAAAAAAAAUCUGCACAUGACUUUUCUGACAGCUCUGACUGUCAGACUGGUCAGAGCAGAGGUGGCAGAGAAACAGUCCAGAAACCGAUUGAACCGAUUUCAGGUCCGGUUGAACUGGUUUCAGAGGCUGAAGAGCAAGUUUUGAACAUUUUGAAGUGAACAAAGGUGGAACUCUUGUGGGAAGUGAAAGUGGUUACUCAAGGGGCAUUCAUGAUCUAGAAAAGUGUUCUCUUAGAUGAUUUUGAAGGAAUUUAAACUUAGCUCAUUGCACAACUUACUUAACCAUUGCGGAUCCAGUCACACCUGGGUUUCGGGGCACCAAGACCCGGGCGCGAACAUAAUCACCAGGUGUGCUGGGACCAAGUCUCACACAUAUGAUGAUUCAUGGCACAGGAUCGAAUGUCACAACUGUGGCAGAACCUCCAAGUUAUCGGGCCCACAUGCACCUGUCCUUGUCUCAAAGACCUCAGACGGCCAUGCAUGUGCACCAGAUAACUUAACAGGAUCCGUCCGAUUGCCCCAAGGACACCGGAUAAACCACUUACAACCAGAACCGCGGGAUUAAGUAACACAAAUCACACACACCAAUAUUUUUGCAGCGGAAAUCUUAUUACCAAAUUUUACAAGUUACAAAAAUUUUAUAUUAUUUUAUCGGAGUGAUUACAAAAGUAUAAGUUUGAAAUAUAUGCUAGCUCAAAUGACCAUCCUCAGUAAGAAGAUAAAGACGGGUUAUACUUAUAUAAGAAGGCCGAGCCCACCGGCACUUAACACCAUCAAAAGCAGCACAAAGUUAGAACCUGAAAAACAACAGGGAAUAAAACCCUGAGUAUGGAAUUACUCAGCAAGACUUACCCGACUAAAGAAAAGACUCUCAAGGGUAUGCUGGAUUUGGGAAUCAAGGAGAGGCUUUAGCAAGAAUCAACUUAGAUACUUUUGCAGAAAUAGCUUACUAAAGUGAGUCCUUACUUUCAAUAUUUUAACGCCAGAUUAAAUAUUAAUAGACUCUAUUUGCAUCUGGUCUAAUUUCACCAUCUCAUCAAUACAACAUCAUUUUUAUUCAUGAGGUUCACAUCCUGACUUAGGUUGCAGGUCAGUGAUCAAGUCUCCACUCUCCGGGGAUAUAACGGCGAUCCGAAUCGAUUUACUCAGCUGAGGAUCUCUAACCACACGACAUAUGUAGCACUUAACCCUUGCAUAUGUCAACCGUUCCCACAGAUCCUCCACAACGUGAACCGGUCCGCGCUACCCGGGAGCACAGUACUCCUCCAUCCAGCCUCUAGCCAGGAGGGCACACGCUACUCCCACCAUCUCCCACGCCCAGUGCGCGGUUGUCUUUUCACGUAUGGAAUAGCCGGGUUCAAGCUUACCCUGUCCCAUUUCCAGGGCAUGUGGCCAGUUAAGAUAGUCCUUGAUCUAUCAGGCCUACAUACGCAUCCAAUCCUUAAUUGACCCAGGCGGAGCAUCACCUGUUCCUAGCCCAAGUCCCGAUUUAAGUACUUCCACCCUUAGGAUUGUUUGUAUUCCUUAGGAUGAAAAGAGCAUCAAAGGGAACUUUGCAGUAAGAUCCCACCAUUGCUCCCAAUUAAAAUAUUCUUGCAGGCAGAAGCCAUCCUUCCUCAGGAUAACCCCUGAGCUAGGCAUUAACGCAAAGGACAACCUCUAUCCACAAGAUUUACCUCUAAGCAAGGCUAAGCAAAUUUUGUAAAUCAUAUUUUGAUACUUCAUCAGAAGUAUCUAUAAAGGUAUGGAUAUCAAGGAAGGCAAUGCAUCAAAGGGUUUCAAGCAACUCCUAUAAACCUAAUGCACAUUUCACUAGACUUAAAGUGUGCGAAAAGUAUUUAAAAACACAAGGAAGGGGUUGCAUGCACCGGGGCUUGCCUGAGUAACACUAGGUUAGUGUUUGUUAGGCGAUGUCCACUUGACGAUCAUCCUUUGGCUUGGCACUCGCUCAGAUUAUCCAUCUUCCAGUUCAUCCAUCAGCAUCAUCCUGCGGUUUAGUCCGCGCUUGGGGUCGACUCGGGGUAUCUUCCGCAUCACGCGAUUAAUUAACGUACCUGAAUGGAAUGCAUUAUGCACAUGAAUGCAUAUCGACGGAAAUAUUAUAAACCUAAAUAGUGCUACGCGAUGGCGAAUUUAAACACCUAGCGGCGAUGCGUUGUACAAUUUUGUACGAAAUCAGUAGUUAUUAAUAUACGACUACACGCAAUAAUUACGUUUCUCGAACCUAACGCAAACAUUGCAAACAAAUUAUACACUUUAAACAUGAUUAGCCUAAACACAAUUCAUCAGCUACUUAAUUAAAUGCUAAAUUUAUCUCUCACUUUAUAAAUUAUAUCACUUUACUUACAAGAACUAAUUGAAUUUUAUUUUGCAUCACACAUAUUUAUUUAAUCUAUCUAAUUCGGCUAACAACUUGCGCGCUAGUAAUAGAUUUAGCUUAGAUUCACUACUUUGAUUAAGGAAGGAAUCCGAGUUUUUCGUCGAUUACACGUUAAAUACCGUACUAAUAUUAAACUACUCGAAACUAAUAACCCAAGCAAACUACCUAGAACAUAAUAACUAUUAUAACGUAAGAGAUCAGCAACAUGUACGACUACCGAUCAAAUCACCAUAAACGAUUCAGGUAGUCUAAUAAAUAUCAUAUUUAGUCGACUGGAAUAACGAAUCCACUUACCGUCCAUUAAAUCCGACUUAAAGCUUGCGAGAACGUCGAUAGUCUCCGAAUAAAAUCUUUGAUCAAACCCUUGGCGAGCUUUAAACUGAGCUUCACUUCGACGACAACCAGAUCGAUAUCGGGACUCGACGGCAGUGCAACACCACCACGAGACGGAGGCAAACUGGCUACGACGGCACGAUUAACGGUGAUUUAACGACCAUGACGAAGAGUGGUGUCGCGGAAAUAGAGCACGACACAGCAGGGCGAUGGUCGGACCAGCAUUGAGCCAGUUGAGCACCAGCGAGGCUUUGUGGGUACGGAUCGGCGCUCGCAACAGAGCUCGCGCGCGCAGGGAGAAACCUCGGCGAGGGAACUCGACGGCGACGAUCUGGGCGAGCGUAGCAGGGAGCCAGCCACGGCUAGCAGCAGGAGCGAGGGAGCUGAGCGCAGUGCAGGGAACCCAUCUAGGAAGCGACGUCCGGCGAGCCCCAAAGAGCAGCGCGCGCAGCGAGCAGAGAGGGAGAGAAGCACGACUGGGCUGGGAUGACCGGCGAGCACGCGCGCAGCCAUGAACACGGCACAGAGCUGGAGCUGAGCAUGGCCACCGGCGGGCUCCAAGGCCGUGGGCUAAGAAACGUGCGCCUGAGCACAGAGCGCAACGGAGAGAUGAGCCAGCAAUUCUCUAUGAGCGAAGCGUACACCAUGGAAUAAAGGAGCAGGCACCGUACAUAUAUAGAUAGACGCCAUGCGGUGGAAGGAUAGGGAUGGUGACCAGCAAAUAUCAACGCCAUGGGCGGUGGUAACUGGUAAGGAUAAAGGCGGCUGAAGGAAAAAAAUCACAGGGAGAUGAGAUCGACAGACUGGGCGGCGGCAAGAUUUUUUUCCAGUGACUCGACGCAGCUAGGAAGAGGAAGCUGGGCUUGGAGAAAAAGCUGAGGCGAGUACAAAUGCUAGAAAGGGAGGUCGACGUGCACAGCUCAGAGAGGAGCAGCGUGAGAGGGAGAUGAACGGAUAGGGAUGCAUGCAACAAGACGGUGGCAAAACAAAUAUCCAAGGAAGAUAUUUUCUUUAAGUAAAAUGGAAAUUUCAGAAUAUUUGAAUUUGGGUCUAGACAAGAUGUACACAAUCUAAUUAAAACGACACUUGAUUUAAACAUAUUAUUUACUGGGACUUUGAAAUAGGACACCAAAUCGGCUAACAAUUUUUCCGGUUUCAAUUAGUUCGGGUUCAGUUUAUUUAAACAGUCUAUCCCUGGUAGUGGCUUUACCAAAUUUAUAGAGAUUGCUCGAACCGAGCGAAAUACUUAAGUGACAAUUUUAUUUCGUCUAGAUUAAUUUUAAAUUGGCACUAGGCUCGACACUUUUAGAAUUAAAUAAAUUUUAAACUGUGCGAGCCGAAUGCGACAUCGCAAUCGGAAUUCCUCCGGGGACGAUGUCAGUAUUGUCACGGGAGCGAGAUGUAGACGGAUUAAACCAGACGAGAUCCGAUUCGAUAUUUAGGACAACACUGGUUUGGUCGAACUCAGAUAAAAAUUUAUCCGUCACCAAAACACAGCUGAUUUGAUUAUCCUACAGUGUGGGCUGAAGAACAAAUGGGAUCAGAUGAAUUCGCACCCGUAAUUUAUAUCCAAAGUUUUGGAUCGGGCAAGAAACGACAGACCGAAUUAAACUGAUUUCGGCACUGAUAAUUUGUUCGGCGUGAUUCGACCGAAAUUAGCCGAAACACAAUAUGCGAACGUAUACGCGAUUUUUGUCGUCGAAACCGCGUGCUGAAGAAUUAAUUGGAUUAUAACCUCGCGCAUGAUUUCGCGCGAUUCAAAUUAUUUUACCCCGAACAUUUUAGUCGUCGAGUUCAACUAAUUUGCCCGGGAUAACAAUCAUCUUAGUGAGUCGGACUUCCAAAUUCGUAUUCGCGCGAGCGAUGAGUUUUAAAUAAUCACCGGACGCACCGAUGUUCGGAACGACUACGUUCCGAAUAAUAUGGAAAUUUCGGAAGAGCCCGGAUAGAUAAAAAUAAAAACGACGUCGCACUCACGACAGACGGAACAGAUGCGAUAUUAAAAUCGUGAUAGGCAAAAAUAAUUAGACCUUAGUGUCCGUCUUAUUUACUGAUAUCACGUGCUUAAAUUCGUACUCAUUGUCGAGCGGAAUAUAAACACCUGGGGUGUUACAGCCCUCCCCCUUAAAAGAAUCUCGUCCCGAGAUUCGGAGCGAAAGACUUUUAAGAGUAGAGAAGCAUGUAAACCACGUCCAUAUCAGCGGUAAUCACAAGGCAGUCUUGAGCGAAGGCGAGUGCCUCAGGAUGUGGUUUCUCUAGCGGACAUAACAUGUAUUGCCUUAGGCCAAUUUAGAGAUGUCCACCAAUAGAGACGAUGUCUGCCAGAGGAACAUAUAAGGUUCCAUGUGUGCAGUUUGCUUUUUUUGAUGACACUAUACUAUCUGAGUCUGUCGAGCGAGCGGCAAAUACACGACUUUACCCAAACAGAAUCAGAUGCACCAUCUUGGGUAAAACACACAGAAAGAGGUUUACCAACAAGUGGUCACAAUGAGUUCGUAGCACACGAGACGGGUGUGAAUGUCGAAUAACAUCACAUUUAACUCGUGGCUAGCUAGAAAAUCCAAGUCCAAGAAAAUGAUAGACUUGCAAAAUCACCAGCGAAGGGAUAGGCAGAUGCUGCCUUCGUAACCAAUCCAUUUUAUCAAUCACUGGGCAUGGCUCGACUUGAUCACACAUACUGGAAAAGCACACGUGAGGCGUUCGAGGCAUGACUAGAGCGAUCAUUAGGUGGUUAUCAGUCGAUUUAACUUGAUUUUUUUAUAAACACUUCCUUAAGAGGGGUUGUACAAAAGUGAGUUUAGACAACUUGAUAAAACGAUCUCUAAACUCAACCUUUGUUCAUUGGGCAGUUACAAGUUAGUAAAACCAACUUGUUGAACUACUUUUGACAUUGAGUAGGUCCUCUCAGUACCAUCGGUAAGCCAAGGGUUGAAAGCUCACAUUUGCUAACAAAAGGUCAUGCAUUUGGGUAGAAAUCAUUUGGACAUGUUAUUCAUCCGUUUCUUCAUGCGAGAUGAAUUAUCCACUUGGUUAGGGAAUACAUGGAUUAAAUAGGAGAGCGAAUGAACAAACUCCUGCAUCUCAACAGCAGGGGAAAUCCAAUCUCCAUUUCGAGAGCUAAUCAGUGGUUUUCCAACACUAAAAAGCUCCAAGGAUUCACCUUUACACAAAGGACGUAAAGGAAACUUGUAUGUGUGAAGUCACCAUCAAAGUCAAGGGAAAAGAGACCACACAUGAAAGGGAUAUGCCCUUUUAAUCCAACGGAGAUGAUAGAUGUUGCUUGAUCACUUGACAAACAACAUAGAAAUUGUUUCAAGGAAGUAGUUUACGGAAGAUAACACAUCAGUGUAGUUCCACAAUGGAUCAUGACCAGAGACCUUGAUACCAGCAUGCGUCGAGUAGCACAAUCCUGUGUGCGCAUUCACAGGAGGCUCUCAGUCUCGAUGCGGCACCAUAAGUCCUUAAUCAUGACACCAUCACCGAACUAGCACCAAUAAUAAAUCUCACGUAGCAAAAAUAGAUUGUGCCAAGAUAACGCAUUGACAUAGUCUCAUAAUGGAUUACAACUACUAACCAUGAUACCAGCGCGUGCCGAGCAGCACAACCGUGUGUGCGCACACACAGAGGGCCCUCGGUUUCGUCACGACACCACAGGUUUUAGCCAUAAUGUCAUUACCAGACGUAACCAAUAAGAAAUCUCGCGCGAUACAAAUGAAUUGAACAAGGGUGACAAUAUACAAGGAGAUACUCCACCUGUAAGAAUGGUUACAAGUAGAGAGCCAAAUAGAUUAUGGCCCAAGGAAAUGAACAAAACAUGGCCAUAACCUAAACUUGAUGAAAGGAGUACGAUGGGAGACUGUUAAUUCAGCCCCAAGCAUAUUUCUAUGCCCAUCAUAGAGAUUACAAGGUCAAGGAUGAGUAUCUGAUUAGAUACGGAGGUAAAACAAUCAUAAGAUUAAGUUGGUAGGCCUUCAAUAGAGAUGGGGAAUCCAAAGGCAUCAAACUUUAAGAAAAUGGUCGGACAAGCUUUUCCUAGGUUAGGUUAAUAAGGCGACAAGAUGAUCCACAAGGAGAGGCCGAAUACAAUAGGGACCUCAACCUGCAUCAACUGAACAAGGGAAUGGUUCUAAAAGGAGACAUGACUUGAGAUCCUUUUUUUUAAGCUUAGGUACAUUUUAUGUCCAAUAAGGAAAUUGUCUAAGCAUUCAUUUACAUGAUUUUAGUCAAGGAGGGAUAAUGGUAAAUUCAAAUUUGGGUCUAGGUUUACCAGAUAAGAACGUGGCCUAAUUUUGGGUUUAGGCAAACAAGUCACUAACCUUCUAUCGACACAUCAAGCACAAGAUCAAACACCAUAUAAGACCUUAAUAGGUUACCUAAAGAAUGGAGGACACCUAUUUCAUCGAAGUUCAUAAUUCAGCAUUACACCACAUUAUCUACAAUCAAUGGUUACUGGAAUAAAGAUGAGAGAAGCAUUUUGGGUGUAUAGGCGACAAACAUGAUGCAACAAUCAGGAUGCAUGCUCGUCCUAUACGUCCUCACUGAUUUUGCCAACAUAAUGUGGUAAUAACGUUCUAUAUCGGUGGCAUACGUUCUCUCUCGGUAUUUUGCUAGUCGUCAGCUACACAUACGUUUUCGAGGUUAGUGUACCUGCAGAAAAUCCAUCACAGCCCAAUUUCCAAUGAUGCAGUUCACACAUGACAUUUUAUCACAGUUUAUACUCCAUAUAUUGCUAUAUGGAGGCCAGCUCAUCAUUAAGCGCCGAGCCACGCAUAGGUGUCGUUGCCACACUUUAACCAUAGGGCAACUCAUUAUGGUAACUCACCUUCUUACCUGAGCGUAGGUGCGUCGUUACAAGUACAUUACACUUCUCAGUAUUCCCAUGUCUGUAUACCCAUACACAUCCAUGGGGUACUGAAUUCCCAGAAAAUCAAAUACUCCAGAUCGCAGCCUUCAUAUAUACAUAUGUGUAACAUGUAUAUAAUCAAGCGCAACAAUUAAACACUUUCCUAGACCGACGGUUGUUUGGUCAUGCUCUCACAUCUCACCUUACCUUGAGCGUCGAUCCAUUCAAAACUGAAUGGCCUUAAAAAUAACAAUACACAUGUAUGCAAUACCCACCCGGUUGUGGGUUAGUGGUUUUUAAAUAAGCCACCUAAUAGUCCUUAACUUAGGGCUUAACAGAGGAUGUUGCUAGCAUUAUAGUUUUUCAAAACUGUUUUUCAAAGCCAAACAAUGUGUUUAGUUAAAAAUAGGUUUUCUAAAACCAAAACUUUUGUUUCGAAAAUACGUAUGUGACCGUAUAUACUUAAUCCUGCUCCGAUACCAGCUGUGGCAGAACCUCCAAGUUAUCGGGCCCACAUGCACCUGUCCUUGUCUCAAAGACCUCAGACGGCCAUGCAUGUGCACCAGAUAACUUAACAGGAUCCGUCCGAUUGCCCCAAGGACACCGGAUAAACCACUUACAACCAGAACCGCGGGAUUAAGUAACACAAAUCACACACACCAAUAUUUUUGCAGCGGAAAUCUUAUUACCAAAUUUUACAAGUUACAAAAAUUUUAUAUUAUUUUAUCGGAGUGAUUACAAAAGUAUAAGUUUGAAAUAUAUGCUAGCUCAAAUGACCAUCCUCAGUAAGAAGAUAAAGACGGGUUAUACUUAUAUAAGAAGGCCGAG